GUGCUUGCUUCAGCAGCACAUAUACAAAAAUUGAAAUCAUACAGAGAAGAUUAGCAUGGCCCCUUCACAAGGAUGACACACAAAUUCGUGAAGUGUUCCAUAUUAUU
ensembl:snRNA U6 U6 spliceosomal RNA